rnacentral:rRNA from 1 species
GACGUAGGAGGCGAGCGUUAUCCGGAUUCACUGGGCGUAAAGCGCAUGUAGGCGGAUGUCUAAGUCGUGUGUUAAAGCCCCUGGCUCAACUGGGGGAGGUCAUGGCGAGACUGGAUGACUUGAGGGCAACAGAGGCACGUGGAACUCCCGGUGUAGCGGUGGAAUGCGUAGAGAUCGGGAAGAACACCCGUGGCGAAGGCGGCGUGCUGGGUUGCAACUGACGCUGAGAUGCGAAAGUGUGGGGAGCAAACGGGG